UUAUGGCUCAGGACGAACGCUGGCGGCGUGCUUAACACAUGCAAGUCGAGCGAUGAAGCUCUUCGGAAGUGGAUAGCGGCGGACGGGUGAGUAACACGUGGGUAACCUGCCUCAUAGAGGGAAUAGCCUUCCGAAAGGAAGAUUAAUACCGCAUAAGAUUGUAAUAUCGCAUGAUAUAGCAAUUAAAGGAGUAAUCCGCUAUGAGAUGGACCCGCGUCGCAUUAGCUAGUUGGUGAGGUAACGGCUCACCAAGGCGACGAUGCGUAGCCGACCUGAGAGGGUGAUCGGCCACAUUGGGACUGAGACACGGCCCAGACUCCUACGGGAGGCAGCAGUGGGGAAUAUUGCACAAUGGGGGAAACCCUGAUGCAGCCAACGCCGCGUGAGUGAUGACGGUCUUCGGAUUGUAAAGCUCUGUCUUCAGGGACGAUAAUGACGGUACCUGAGGAGGAAGCCACGGCUAACUACGUGCCAGCCGCAGC
rnacentral:rRNA from 1 species